GGGAUGGUUUGUCUUGCCCAGAAAUCGCAAAUUUCAAAGUACGAUUGUGGAGAAUCACGAGGCCAGAGAAAAGCUUGACGGCAUAUUCUGCAAUCUCCUCAGUUUCAUAUUCUGCAAAUGCGUAUCCUUUGGGUCUAUCAGUUUCCUUGUCUCGAGGAACGUACAAAUCCACCACCCGCCCAGCUUGGAUUAGAAUAUCAUACAAAACCCUAUCGCUCACCCUCUCAUCCAAAUUACCUACGUAAACGGUGGAACUAGUGUUUCCAGACAUGGUCAUUAAGCUUUGGUUCUGGCUCAGGCGAAACCACAGAAAACCUA
rnacentral:misc_RNA from 1 species